ensembl:lncRNA
GGGUGCUACCAAGGCAUUAGUGAAAGACGAUGAAGGACUGAGAGCAAUUAAUCUCAAAUUCAGGACAAAAUUAAAAAGCCAGAGGGCCUGAGGGCAGAAAGGCAGAGGACCAAACCCAGAAUGUGAUUUAAAGUGUAGUAGAUUCCAGAGAACAUUGUUGACCUGGAAAAUCUACUUCACCAAGUCUGAAGCAAUCAGAAAACACAAGCUACGGGUGCUGUAAUAGCCUGAGGGGGAGAUGGUAUUGAUGUUGUUAUUGCUUCAUCUAUAUUGAGAAUGAAGCCCUGGGAGAAAGAUCCAGGUUAAUCCUUUCUUGACUGGAGGGCCCAGGACAUGAAGAGUCUAGAGU